rnacentral:rRNA from 1 species
AUUGAACGCUGGCGGCAGGCCUAACACAUGCAAGUCGAGCGGAUGAAGGGAGCUUGCUCCUGGAUUCAGCGGCGGACGGGUGAGUAAUGCCUAGGAAUCUGCCUGGUAGUGGGGGAUAACGUCCGGAAACGGGCGCUAAUACCGCAUACGUCCUGAGGGAGAAAGUGGGGGAUCUUCGGACCUCACGCUAUCAGAUGAGCCUAGGUCGGAUUAGCUAGUUGGUGGGGUAAAGGCCUACCAAGGCGACGAUCCGUAACUGGUCUGAGAGGAUGAUCAGUCACACUGGAACUGAGACACGGUCCAGACUCCUACGGGAGGCAGCAGUGGGGAAUAUUGGACAAUGGGCGAAAGCCUGAUCCAGCCAUGCCGCGUGUGUGAAGAAGGUCUUCGGAUUGUAAAGCACUUUAAGUUGGGAGGAAGGGCAGUAAGUUAAUACCUUGCUGUUUGGACGUUACCAACAGAAUAAACACCGGCUAACUUCGU